rnacentral:rRNA from 1 species
UACGAGGGGGGCGAGCGUUGUUCGGAAUUAUUGGGCGUAAAGGGUGCGUAGGCGGUUCCGCAAGUCCUGUGUGAAAUCUUCGGGCUCAACUCGAAGUCUGCAUCGGAAACUGCCGGGCUUGAGUGUGGGAGAGGUGAGUGGAAUUCCUGGUGUAGCGGUGAAAUGCGUAGAUAUCAGGAGGAACACCUGUGGCGAAAGCGGCUCACUGGACCAUAACUGACGCUGAUGCACGAAAGCUAGGGGAGCAAACAGG